GACGAACGCUGGCGGCGUGCUUAACACAUGCAAGUCGAACGGUGAAAGCGGAGCUUGCUCCGCUGGAUCAGUGGCGAACGGGUGAGUAACACGUGGGCAACCUGCCCCUCACUUCGGGAUAACUCCGGGAAACCGGGGCUAAUACCGGAUAUGACCUCCUUGGGCAUCCUUGGAGGUGGAAAGUUUUUCGGUGAGGGAUGGGCCCGCGGCCUAUCAGCUUGUUGGUGAGGUAGUGGCUCACCAAGGCGACGACGGGUAGCCGGCCUGAGAGGGCGACCGGCCACCAUGGGACUGAGACACGGCCCAGGCUCCUACGGGAGGCAGCAGUGGGGAAUAUUGCGCAAUGGGCGAAAGCCUGACGCAGCAACGCCGCGUGCGGGAUGACGGCCUUCGGGUUGUAAACCGCUUUCAGCAGGGAAGAAGCCGCAAGGUGACGGUACCUGCAGAAGAAGCACCGGCUAACUACGUGCCAGCAGCCGCCGUAA
rnacentral:rRNA from 1 species